AGCUCCAAUAGCGUAUAUUAAAGUUGCUGCAGUUAAAAAGCUCGUAGUUGGAUUUCUGGCUUGAAACAUUUUGCCGGCCACGGUUUCGUGUGUUAGUGCUUGAUGUUCUGGCCAUCCUUCCAUUGCUAUCACUUUUCUUCAUUGAUUGGUGAGUGGUAUUGGAUCUUUUACUUUGAAAAAAUUAGAGUGUUUCAAGCAGGCUUAUGCUAUGAAUACAUUAGCAUGGAAUAAUAAUUUAGGACUUCGGUUCUAUUUUGUUGGUUUCUAGGACUGAAGUAAUGAUUGAUAGGGAUAGUUGGGGGUGCUAGUAUUCAGCGGCCAGAGGUGAAAUUCUCGGAUUCGCUGAAGACUAACUUAUGCGAAAGCAUUCACCAAGGAUGUCUUCU
rnacentral:rRNA from 1 species